GGCCAAUGUGAUUGGCUGUGCCUUUCAGGGAGCUUUGUUUAGUUUUAGCAGCGGCAAUCCUGCGCUGUGAGGACCUGCAAGGAGGAGAGGAGGAUGGCAGCAAAAAGAAGAACCUGGAUAUAAGAAAGUAUUUUUCAAAGAAACCUUGUUUGAUCCAAAUGAUUACACUCAGGCAAUAAAACACACUUGAUAAAAGGUGCCAUAGAAGCCACAGGGGAAGCAUCUCCAACCACUUGGCUGAAUUCAUCAGAAACACUGCGGCCAAAAUCAUGCACUACAUCGCACAGCUCCAAACAUCAAAAGAACAGAAUGAAGUGAAAAAUUAAACUUCAAACUGGAGCAAGUACCCCCGGAUCCCCCCACUGAGAUGACCACUGCGGCACUGGGCAAACCUCCACCGGCCCC
ensembl:lncRNA